UUUACCUGAACUUUAAAACUCAACAUUACACCAGUAAUUAUCUUACCGCAUUUAAGAACUUAUUUACAACCACAGGAUUUGAUUAACUAAGCUCAAGGUUAACUAGUAACUUUAAAAGGAAGAAGAACUAAAAAUAAUCUGUAUGUGACCAUUACUUAAAGCACCAUCCAGCUUCUUUUGCUACUUUUGGUCAUGAUUGAAUUAUGCCGGUCGUAAUGCCCUUGAGAGUCUCCAAUGAUAGGAGAAAUGUUAUCAUAACAAACUAGAAGUAGUUCUUAUUUUAAGAAUUAAAACAUAAUUUGAAGUGUUUUUCAGUCUGUGCUAAUGAAAAAUGUCUAGAUGAAGAAUUUAUUUCUUACAGUUGAGAUAUUCAUGGUUCCAUAUAUUUAUGGUACUUGCAGAUUGAUAUUUGGAACAUUAUAUCCAGCAUAUGCCUCAUACAAGGCAGUCCGGACCAGGAAUGUAAGAGAAUAUGUAAAAUGGAUGAUGUAUUGGAUUGUUUUCGCUCUCUUCACCAGUUUCGAGACUUUCUCUGAUUGCAUAUUAUCAUGGCUUCCAUUUUAUUACGAAAUAAAAAUAGUAUUCGUACUAUGGUUGUUAUCUCCUGUUACCAAGGGAUCCAGUUUCUUGUACAGAAAAUUUGUUCAUCCACAACUUAUAAAGAGAGAGAAAGAAAUAGAUGACUAUUUAGCACAUGCAAGAGAUGCUAGCUACUCUACAGUGCUACAGCUCGGCCACCGAGGAAUUAGGUACGCAACUAAUGUCAUUGUCAAGACAGCCAUACAAGGCCAAGCCCGGAUUGCCAAUCAUAUAUAUAAAAGCUACAGUAUGAGUGAUUUGUCCGAUGGGUAUGGCGAACCUCGAUCAAGAAACAGAAUUGGAUCGAUUCCUGAAAAUGAUGAAGAUGAAGAUGAAUUAGUCACACCAAAAUCUGCUAGUAACAAUAGAUUACGUGAAGACAACCAAGAGUUAGAAAAACGCAUGAAAAAAGAAAAAGAUUCUAAGUAUCUCACUGAAGAAGAAUUAGAAAGUAGACAUAUUGCACCUCGAGGAAAAGCAGAUUUAUACAGUGUCCCUGAAGAAAGUAAUCCAUCACCGCUGUCUUCCAUGACAAAACCCUACAGCUCGUACAGCAGCCGCUAUAGUAGUGGUAGCACCAUUGGUUAUGAUUUAAGAUCUUUGUCAAAGAAGGAGGUUCGGAGCUCUUCUUAUCUGGGUUACCCUGGCUACAGUGGGACAGGUUCCCUGCCCCGUCACCGCUAUUCCUGGUCUUCCUCCGACUAUAGCCGUGCUUGGAAACAUUAGGCACAGUUAGCUAAGUCCUGUUGCCUGAUACCCCAGGAUUUUAACUUCAUGAUUCAGUUGCCAAGCCUAUUAGAUCUUCUAGUGUCGGAGAUUUAAGGGCUAGAUUUUCUCUACAGCAACAUGCGGCCAAUACGUACGGGACACUACCUCGCACUGGACAUGGAAACAAGAGCGGAAGAAAAUCUGUGCG
rnacentral:misc_RNA from 1 species